GUAGUCAGGCCAGCAAAGCUGCCACCCGAAGCUUGUAGAGGGUGCUGUCUGCGACAAGCCCCAGGAGGACUGGGU
rfam:T'Ho virus strain T'Ho-Mex07, complete genome